CGGGAGGAGCCAGCAGGCACAAGGGCAGCCGGGCGCUGGCCACACGCUGCUGAGGGCCGGCACGGUCAGCUGGUGGAUGGGCCCAGCAGGAACCGGGGCGCACCUCCCACCCUGCCCCUCGAGGAGAGGGUUUGAGGCAGCGCCCGCCCUGCCAGGCUGCAGCCUCUCCCUCUCAUUAUUUUUUCACCGCAAGAACUAUCUUACACCUUAUCAAUAAUUCACAGGCACAAUUUUGGGCACUGACAGACAGGAAAACCCCACUCUGGGAUAAUUCAGGAGCAUUCUGUUUUGGCCUUGCUGUCACAGUCACUGCUGGCAUCUCUCUGCUAAUGGAUAGGAACAGGAGAGGAACAGGUCCUGUCUGGCUCUGUGGAAGUGGGGACACAGGAGGAACACUUGUGAUGGAUGAGGGAGAAGUGUAGGGAAAAGAGAACAACUUCAGCCACCACUGCCAUUUGCCCUAUGAACUCCAAGCCAAAGCCCCUGGAAAGUUCAGCCAGCACCUCCUCCAGGCAAGGUAUUCUAGAGCUCAUAAAAUUAAAGCAAAGCUGUCUUUCCCUUUUCCAGUGCUAAUAAAAUAUAUUUCUGCCUAAGAUGCUCAGACAGGACUGCAGUGCAGAGGUCGGGAAGGCCACGGCUGAGCAUCCCCUGGGGAGAGCGUGGGAAGAGCGGCGCCAGUGGAUCUCCCCAGCCUGGCUGGCAGCAGCAGGACCAGCCUGGAACCCUUCAGCAGCCCCAUCCCCACCUGCAGACGUGCCUGUUCAGACAUCAACUCACAUCAUCCCAGACAGAGAAGAGCCUCUGCAGCUGGCUUUGCUCCACUCCUGCAGAGCAGGGAUGCUUGGGGGCUGUGAGAGCAAUUAAGGACCUGGCCUGUGUUGGAGGCACUGGACUUAUGUCCCCAGCACCCAGAGAGGGAGUAUCAUCCAUCAUCCAGAAGGGGACACUUCAUCACUGGGACAUUUUGAGCACUCAGCUCAGACCCAGAGCCCACCCAGGGAUUUCUGCUCCAACUGACACUUCUAGUUUCCACCACUGGGAAAAGAAGUACAGUCUCCUUUGCAACUUCAAAGGACAUUCAAGUCACCUCUUCCCAGCUGAGUGUUCAGUGGUUAAUUGCUCUCUGUCAUGAAAAAGACAAAUUUAAUUCUAGUGUGAAUUUGUCUAGUUUCAGCCCGCAGCUACUGAAUGAUUUUAUGCUUUUUUUCUUUUUUCUUUUUUUUUAAAUUAAUGGUGUCCCUAUAAUCGGGCUUUCCCCCAUGCAGGUAUGCAGAGAUGGAGAUAAAUUUCUCUCCUAGAGAGAAAUUCUCUCUCUUCUCUUGCAUAUACUAAAUAGACUGAGCUUUUUAAUUCUUUUCACUGCAAGGCAGAUUUUCCAGACCUCCAAUUAUCCUGCACUUCCUCUCUGAGCACUUUCUAAUUUCCCAACAUCUCUCUAAACUGUGGGCCCUGAAGCAUAAACUAUGCUGAGCAGAGGCCUCCCUCCUGCCCCCCAAACUGGCAACUCCCCAGCACCCAGAGCUACUCCGCGCAUCCAUCACUGCCCAGGCUGGAAGCCCACAUCCAGGGCAGGCUUACACGACGGCUGCUAAGUCCUUUUCAGUGUAACCACAUCCCCAGACACUGCUCCCCGUCUUGUAGCUGUGACCUACAUUUUUUUUUCCCCCAGCUGCGUGACCUUGCAUGAGGAUGUUUCCCAGUGCAGGUGUUUCAGGCGGAGCAUCCCCGCUAGACCGGCAUCCCGCCCGCAGCACCAGCCCUGCUCCUCUCACUGCUGGCUCACGUGCCCUCCCAGGCUCAGCUCUCUCACUGUGCAGGUGGCUUCUUCCCAAGCUGCAUCAACCACACCACUCAGCUCAUCCUCAGCUGGUGCAAGGCAGAAAGAGGAGGCAACAAGAGGCCAGGAUAUUGGGGGCUGAUUGGAAGAAGUCAGCAGUGCCACCAAAGAUUCCAGGACCACCGCAGCUUGGCAGAGAUGCUGAACAUCAGUUCACCACCAUCAGACCCCCACUGCACCCUGCCAGAGAGGUGACCACUGCAAUGCCCCCAGGGAUUUCUACCAGUAAAAAACGCUGUCAGAAAUGCUACACAGACUUUUGCAGAAUAUUAAUGUUUUCAUGGCAAUAUCCUCCAGGCAAGAGCAAAAUGACUUGCAGAAGUCUCGGUAUAUCAUGUCAGCACAGUCGCUACUUAUCAACCCAAUUUGUCAGCUCAUCAAAAAAAUGAUAUCAGGAUGCCAAAAUUACCAUUUCCCAAAUACUCAAGUGGAUGGUCAAGCUCUUUCUGGCUGCACCUCCCAGGGAAACACCUCUCCUCCACCCCAGGGCCUGCAGAAAGCCUGUGCCACUUUAUUUCUCUUCAAGCAGCUCUGCCUCAAAUGCCAUCCCUCACUGGAGAGGCAGCAAGGACCAGACAGGGAGAAGGAGGGGUGAAGAAACCAUGCUAAACCAUCCCUGCCAUUUCCUGCCUCCCAGUUUAGAGAAAAAAAGACAGCGGGAUGUCUUCAGUUACCAACAGCUCCCUUGGGAGCAGUAAAAAUUAAUCCAGCUUUUCCUAUCCUGAAGGGAAAUACAGACACAAAUGAGGACAAAAGCCUCUGUGGGCAAAGGGAGGUGCAACAACCAUGGAAGGGCUGUGGAAGGCAGCUGUAAGACCCCUAAUCCACACUCUGCUUGGCUCUGCAGGGCAGUGGGAGCCCCAGCCACAGAAGUCUGCGUCUUGCUGGUUAAGUGAGGAUAAGCCUGAGAUGAUAAUUAAUUUAACACAGAUGAGAAUCUGGAAAGUGGAUCCCCACCUCCCCAAACACACUGCCAGCAGGGUUCCCUCACAUGUGGAUGUCAAUUGGCACACAGGGAAAUGGGCUCACCAAAUCAGGACACCCUCAGCUCAUCCCUGCAGGCAGGGCACACCUUCUCCCUGGCAAUGCCUAGGAGCCCUGCUGCACCAGGAAAGCCCCCAGCUGUGCAAAGAGGCAUCUUUUUCCCACUUACACUCAUCUCUUUGGCCCUUACAGCAUUCAGCGUGGGGAACUUCACCUGCCUACAGCACUGGAUAAAGCAUCCCAGGGCUCCAGGCAGCCCGCUUGGGUGAGAAUUUGGAGCCCACCAGGCCCAGCUCUGGUGUGGGGGCUGCAGGCCGUGUGGUGCAGCAGCAAUGCCAAAAGCACCACAGGUCCCUUGGGAGCAGAAGAGAAAGAGCACGGCACAGGCACCCUGUUGGAAGCAGUGCUGGAAACUGCUGACAGCUUGUUUUCAUUGCAGUCCCAGCAUGAGAGAGGAGGGGCUCCAGCACCCACCCGCGGGAAGAUCAGCCAGCAAACACAGGUUAAUUACCUGGCUCUGCACAUUCACACGUCUGUGGGAUGCACAUGCAGUGGUACCAAGUUAUAACUUAGCCUCAAAUCACUGCAUAGGACUUUUUUCUUCCACAUUCUGGAACUCAAAUUACCAGAGGCUAAUUCUGCUCACGAUUCUUUAAUAUCACUUUGAACUCUUCUACUAUUUGAGCUGUGAAAACAGGAGGAAGGAAAUGCCUUUAUGCUGUGCUCAAAAUGGAUGGACAAAGGCAUCAGCUCCUCCAGGUGCUCUUUUAACUCUUUCAGGGGACCAAAGGUGGCUAAAGGCUGAAUGUGGGACAAUGCAGGCAAUGAGCUGUGACGCAGGCAGGGAAUAAAUAAUUCCUGUGUUUUAAUAGCUGUGUAAUUAGCACCGCUGCUCAGCUUUAGGAAGACUUUGCAAGCAAUUUUUCAUUGCUUUUUCCCAUGGGUUGCAAAUUCCCAUUUGCCAGUGCACCACUGGGAAGCUGGACAGGGAUGCUCUGCAUGAUGCCAUGUGGGGGAGAGGACUUUCCUGAAAGGGGCAGGGGGCUGAAAGCUGCACCUCAUUACAGACUUUCACUUUAGUAACAUUACAAAACCCAAAUCCAAGCCUGCACCCAAAGCAAGACAGAGAGUGAGCCCAGCAGAACCAGUGGCUCAAGGAGAGAGCCCCGGGAGCAGGGCUUGACCCCGUGCAUUGCCAAGGAAACCUUGGAAGCGUCUCAACAGCCAGAAAACUGGAGCCGGCCGUGAGUCAGGAGCACAACGGGGUGCACGGAGGGAAUGGGGCAGAUUAUCUCCAAGCAGCCGUCUGGCAAUGCCCGCUCCUGGCAGCCCUGGCUCACAGGCAGGAUAAUGGCACAGAACAGAGCCAGGGCGUCCCCGUGCAGGGCUUGCAGCACCACCCCAGUGGGAUGGGCCCAGGCUGGUGGGAAGCAAGGAGGGAGGCUGCUCGUCUGCAGGUUGGGCCGUGGUUGCUACCCUCACCCCAGUACUCCCUGUGCCUCUGGAGACUGCAGGUCAAGUCCCAAAAAGCUUAUGGAAGUGCUCAAAUAUGAAGAGAUCUUAAGAAUGUGUUUAAUUUGUGAGGCUUUCAGGUUGUCUGCACUCAGGAUCCCCCACGGAGUCUCACUGCCCUCCCCCCCAAAAAAGCUGAAUCUGUGGCACAUUAAUGAUGGAGGAAGAAGAGCAGCAGGCAGUGAGCAGCUCCCUGCACAAGGGUGCUCCUUCCCAGCACCCACACAAAGCCCCAGAUGUAUCUGUAAGGAUGCUGUCCCCACGGGCCAGAAGCACAAGGACAUAUCAGCCUGCCUCAGCUUGGCCCUUCUGCAGCCCCCUGAGCCCUGCCAAGGCUGGGGUGCCAGGAGCAGCCCCUCAGCGCCUGGCAGCCCGCCGGGGAGGGGGCUGGCUGCCCGCCCGCCUGGCAGCAUCCUUCCCUA